rnacentral:rRNA from 1 species
CCUACGGGGUGCAGCAGUGGGGAAUAUUGGACAAUGGGCGAAAGCCUGAUCCAGCCAUGCCGCGUGUGUGAAGAAGGCCUUCGGGUUGUAAAGCACUUUCAGUGGGGAAGAAAGCCUUGGGGCUAAUACCCUCGAGGAAGGACAUCACCCACAGAAGAAGCACCGGCUAACUCCGUGCCAGCAGCCGCGGUAAUACGGAGGGUGCGAGCGUUAAUCGGAAUUACUGGGCGUAAAGCGCGCGUAGGCGGUCUGAUAAGCCGGUUGUGAAAGCCCCGGGCUCAACCUGGGAACGGCAUCCGGAACUGUCAGGCUAGAGUGCAGGAGAGGAAGGUAGAAUUCCCGGUGUAGCGGUGAAAUGCGUAGAGAUCGGGAGGAAUACCACUGGCGAAGGCGGCCUUCUGGACUGACACUGACGCUGAGGUGCGAAAGCGUGGGUAGCAAACAGGAUUAGAUACCCUGGAGUC